rnacentral:rRNA from 1 species
CGUGGGUAACCUGCCUCAUAGAGUGGAAUAGCCUUCCGAAAGGAAGAUUAAUACCGCAUAAUGUUGAAAGAUGGCAUCAUCAUUCAACCAAAGGAGCAAUCCGCUAUGAGAUGGACCCGCGGCGCAUUAGCUAGUUGGUGGGGUAACGGCCUACCAAGGCGACGAUGCGUAGCCGACCUGAGAGGGUGAUCGGCCACAUUGGGACUGAGACACGGCCCAG